rnacentral:rRNA from 1 species
CCUACGGGUGGCAGCAGUGGGGAAUAUUGCACAAUGGGGGAACCCCUGAUGCAGCGACGCCGCGUGAGUGAAGAAGUAUUUAGGUAUGUAAAGCUCUAUCAGCAGGGGAGAAAAUGACGGUACCUGAUUAAGAAGCCCCGGCUAACUACGUGCCAGCAGCCGCGGUCAUACGUAGGGGGCCAGCGGUAUCCGGAUUUACUUGGUGUAAAGGGAGCGUAGACGGCAGCACAAGUCUGGAGGGAAAUGCCGGGGCUUAACCCCGGAACUGCUUUGGAAACUGUGCAGCUAGAGUGCAGGAGAGGUAAGUGGAAUGCCUAGUGUAGCGGGGAAAGGCGUAGAUAUUAGGAGGAACACCAGUGGCGAAGGCGGCUUACUGGACUGUAACUGACGUUGAGGCUCGAAAGCGUGGGGAGCAAACAGGAUUAGAUACCCGUGUAGUC